rnacentral:rRNA from 2 species
GCGACCCCAGGACGGGCGUGGCCACCCGCCGAGUUUAAGCAUAUCAAUAAGCGGAGGAGAAG